rnacentral:rRNA from 1 species
AAAUUGAAGAGUUUGAUCAUGGCUCAGAUUGAACGCUGGCGGCAGGCCUAACACAUGCAAGUCGAGCGGCAGCGGAAAGUAGCUUGCUACUUUGCCGGCGAGCGGCGGACGGGUGAGUAAUGUCUGGGAAACUGCCUGAUGGAGGGGGAUAACUACUGGAAACGGUAGCUAAUACCGCAUAACGUCGCAAGACCAAAGAGGGGGACCUUCGGGCCUCUUGCCAUCAGAUGUGCCCAGAUGGGAUUAGCUAGUAGGUGGGGUAACGGCUCACCUAGGCGACGAUCCCUAGCUGGUCUGAGAGGAUGACCAGCCACACUGGAACUGAGACACGGUCCAGACUCCUACGGGAGGCAGCAGUGGGGAAUAUUGCACAAUGGGCGCAAGCCUGAUGCAGCCAUGCCGCGUGUAUGAAGAAGGCCUUCGGGUUGUAAAGUACUUUCAGCGGGGAGGAAGGCGUUG